GCCGUAAAGCCGCCGCACUUCCAGCCACCUGUUGCUGGCUAUUAAACCUCCGCAGGCUGCAAACAGGAGAACUCGGAGUGACAGGAUCGCUUCUCUAAUGAGGACAUCUGUUUCUGAAGGUGCGAAGUUUGGAAACCACUUCCGUGUCCCUCUGGUUCCUGGGACACUGUGCUGCUGUCCUGCCAGACCUAGCUUCAGGUGGCCAAAACGUCCCCUGACCUGGCCAGCACUUCUCUGUGCCCAGACAGCCUGGGACAGGGGCCUGUUAAAACUGAACCCAUAACUUUCCCUUCCUUUUUCCUUUAAUCCCAGUGCCACACAAAGGACCUCAUCAUCUCAGCUAACAGACAAAAAGAGCACUUUUACUCACUGCCUUUACUGCUAUCCAAUAUCUCUCCUUGCACUGGCAUCCUCAGCUCUCCAAACAGGCAGCCUUGGUGUUUCAUUAUCACUUAUCUCCAGUGCACAAGCUAUUCCUACUUUUGCCAUGAAAUUAACCGCCUGAGAAUUUUACUUAUUUCAGCAAUGGAUAGGAAAGAGAGGUUUUCAUCACAGAAUGCACUGGCAUAAUUACUUUGUUUAGUGGCAUGAUGGUUUUUUUCUUCACUUAUGCGUCUUAGAUUGAAGUGUAAUACUAGUACAGCCAAGUGCAAUACGCUCAUCCUACCCACAGUAAAGUGCCUUGUCUUGGCAUAGUUCAUUCUUCUUCCUAAAACAAGUUGACACUACCUUAUGCAGAUUAAAUUUUAUAUUGAUAUACAUAUAUCCACAACAGGAAAGCUGUGUGAAUUAACUUUACCACUUCUGACUGUAGGCAAGACCCAGGUCUGCAUAAACAUAAAUUCUGUUUUCAGCAAUAGUCUUGACAUAUGAACACAAAUGCAAUGUUCUUUUGAAAACAAAACAUACAAGGGAAUAUAAACACCUAUAAAUGUGAGAAAUUCCAUAUAUAUUCGACUGUAACAUAUACUUCAUAUAUAUAGCUACGUAUUAAUCAAAUUCAGGUGACUAUAUAUGCAUAUAAAAUAAUGUAUUUCUCCAAAAGUUAAUACCUUUCACAUUUUCACAUCAACCUGUGUAUGAAGCAUUAGGUUUCAGCAGUACCCAUUAUGUUAGUAACUUAUAUAUGUAAUGUAAUUGCUGGCACACCUAAUACCUAGGAAUGUUUCCUGUUGAAUAAAAGCAAGUAGUCUGACUUGGAAUGAAAGAUUAAAAUUAAUAAAUCUAAAAGGUGCACUUCUUAGACAGAGUUGAAUCUGUAUGUUAAGUGAAUUCUGUGAUUUCUUUUAAUCCAGUACUGAGGAGUCUUUCCCUUAGUAAGAGUCUGUCCAUAUCCCUUUGCUGAGUCCUGCAUGAACACAAAUCUCAGCAGCAUCCAAUAAUAAUGUAGAAAAAAAUCUACAUGGCUGAAGAUUUCUUCGGAUAAUGUUACUGAAGGUUACUCAUAGCCCUGCUACCACCUUUGCUUUAAUCUGGUAGGAAUAAUUCACUAGGCCAUCAUUUGGACAUCGUAAGAUUCAAGAUGUCUUUAAAUUAAUUAUUUUCUUGCCUUUAAGUAAUUGUAAUUGUUUUCAUUAGAUUAGUCUUACAUAGCCACAUUUUGUCACCUUAUUUGCUUCUGGAAAUGCGUGCUUUUUAUUUGUUUUGAACGGGUCUGAUAACUAAGCAGGACUGUUUCUAAGAAAUUGUUUCCAUAUCUACAAGGAAAAGCUUUUAGAAUACGUUUUCUUGGGAAUAACCAAUGUGUGCUAGCUAGACUAAAAAUGUGUAUCUGUACAAUCUAUUCAUUGUUGUUUCCCUGUGACUUGUUGCAUACUCACUGUUGUGCAUUGAUUACCACCAUGUGCUGGGAAGGUGUUCUUCCUGGCAAUGCUCCAUGGCCACUGUCUCGUGGAACAAAUCACAGAAUGGUUUGAGUUGGAAGGGUCCACAAAGAUCAUCUAGUUCCAACCCCCCUGCCAUAGGCAGCAACAA